GUGUGUCUCUGAAAGCCAACCACAGCUUUUGAUUUCCUGUUGUGUUCUAUAUAUUUUACCGCUGAGUUCCCACAACAGCUAACAUCAGUUUGUUUUUGUAUACAAGUAAUUACCACCACAAUUUUGGAUAUUAUUCACUUUAUACAAUAAUGACAGAUGAAAAGCGUUUCCUACUAAAUGUCCCCCAAAACCUACAUCAGAGUGCCUCAUGUGAGUAGAUCCUCCAUAUUUAGCUUUUCAAGUGCACAAAUUCUUAUAAGUGUUAUAGCUCUGUUGCCAGCGGAAAAUGUACAGGACAUAGUAAUAUCCAGACGAUCCGCUUAGUACAGCGCUAUCUUCCAUGACAGAUGUUUCCUGCUGACCCUCGUUUGCGACGGUUUUGAGGAAGUGAAAGGCCUCACUGUUCCCCCCUAAGCCCCUCUUUCCUCUGUCUUAUGGCAUCUCGCUUCAGUUCCUGUUUUCCUGCCUUCAUCCCUGUUCUGAUGUUGCUGUUGACCUCUCGAUACUGACCGGGCCCUGCGGGGUCUUCCUCUCAUUCGUUAUACCCCACCUGUGGUCACAAAAGUCGAGAAACUCAUUUGUGACCGAGGUCUGUUUGUUUUCGGGGACCUUAGUUCCUCUUCUGCUGUGGACAGGAAUUUCUCAUUGACGUUGUCAAAACAGGUUUACACAGGGGCUUGGAUUGGUUCGUUUUUGGUUUUUUUUAAGUUUAAAAAGCUGUAAAACUGUUCUGCACUACGUUUAAGAACAUUCUAUAAUAUUGUUUUUACUUAAUAUACUAAAGAUCUAAAUGGGGCUAAAAUUGUAAAUGUUUUAUGAAUAUGGCCUCGGAUUAUUUGGAGGAGGAAGGAAAGAAAGGUUCAGGCAGGUGCCUCGCUAGACAUGGGAGAGGAGAAAGAGAGCGAAUCGUGGAUGGGGUCAGCCUCAGUGAGCACCUUCACAUCGCAUCAGUAAUUUAUUCUUCUCCUAGUCAAACCAUAACAUGUAAGGAUAUUUUUUCAGUUUCUCUGAAACUUAAACGUACUGAAGCUUAUUGUGUCCUUUCAUACUGUAACAUCUCCGCAGUACAGCAUGAAGGCGAAGUGCCGCUCAUAGAGGAGGUCGAAAUAGGUGGUCACGUGGUACAGACUGGGCGAGAUGACGUCGAUGAUUAGCAAGGUGAGAGGAAUUUCCAGCAUGUUAACAGGCUUCUUGAUAUGACUUAGGCAGGUAAGACAAACACAAAAAGUUAUCGUGUGUAUAACCGCAAAAGGGUUAAAGUAGGCGACGGAGCGUCUUUUAUUCAUUAUUCCCCGUGUAAGGUUAACUUCACCUGUCGUCUCGCCGGUGUAUUUUGUCGUCUAGCGUGUGCGCUUUCACUAAAAUGACCACCCGGACUCAGUAAUCGAUCCGAUGAGAAUAAUAUUUACGACUCACUUGAACUAGCGCACGAAAUUGAUGAUGGCUUUCGAUUAAGCAAAUACUGCAGCAUCGUACAGAGAAGCAAUGGCAGUUGCGGCGUCAUAAAUGUCGUGGCGGACAUACUUCCAAGUAAUACGAAAAGCUUCUUGUCGUACAAUUCGGGCUUUGACUAUGCACUAAGUGGUACUUCAUCUGCCAGGCAUAACUGGAGAUACAGAGGAAGUGGCGAAGAUAGACCAGCGUUUCUGGACCCUUUCCGCAGGAUGUCAACGAAGUGCCGCCGAUAGAGCAACUCGAGCUAGGGGGUCACUCAGUACAAAUUGGGAGAGUUGAAGUCGAUUAUGAGCAGGAUGUCCAGAAAGGUACUACUUACAUUGAUACAAAAAGACUGUGUUGGUAUUCAGAUGAAGUGGUAGACAUAAAAUUUUAGUUCACCGGUCUCAGCGCUAAUCGACUUUAGCGGACUUUUCACCUGAACAUCCGGAUUGCCACUUAGGACCUUAAUAGAAGUUAAGACAAAACUAAGUCAGACUUAGGACCUAGCAUGUAAACCAGGCCUGUGGUAUUAGUCACCUCUAAGGUCGGCGUCCAUUGUAUAUAGCAAAUUUUGCGAUUGUAAUGUUCAUCUUGAAAUACAUGCACUGUGAGACUAUGUCGUACAAAUAUAAACCACGAAGCUGUGGUUAAAGUGGUUUCAUCAAAAGAGCCAAAGAAACUGCAAGUGUAUACAAUGUACAGGUUUUGCGACAGGUAAAAUAUUUCAUUCGUACAGUAAAUAGAGCGAAUCUAUAAGCAAGUUGGUCACAAACUUUUUGAGUUGUGUGACAAUUUAUUUUCAGACACGUGAACUGGCCUUUCAAUGGUUAAUUCUUUUUCUUCUUUCUAAUCAUCCCCAGUGCAGCAUAUGGCUUCAAUGGUUAAUAGGUUGAUAAAAUGUCAACAUUAAUGUCUGCAUAAUUAGCUUCAAAAAUCAAGGAUAUAUAUAUAUGGCCUAUAAUAUCACAAAUAUGGUGAAGUAAUUAUACUUACAACUAUUGCACAUCCAGCUCUCCAAAUUAGAAAAAAAUGUAUUCUAAGUGUCGGGUUUUUCACAGAACAUUUAAUUUUACAGUAUUUAUCAUGGUAAUUAAUUAAAUUUGUUUUUUCAACAUAAUUAUACACACCCAUGCAAACACUGACACUGUCACACGACGUAAGUUACCUCCGUGUGAGAGAGAGAAAGAAUGAGUGCGUGUGUGUUGGGAGGAGGGCUGGAUGGAUCGAUAGAAGUGUUCCUGAAAUCAGAUUAAUUUUAAAAUUAAAAAAUGAUGAUGAUGAUGAUGAUGAUGAUAAUAAAAACUGGAGUUUUGUUCCUUACUUAGAUUACUCUGCAACUGUCAAAAGUUAUAUCAGCAAUUUCGUUUAAAAUAGCAUAUCCCAUCUAUGUCUCUGUUGUUAUGUGACACUUUUUGACAUUAAUAAAGUUUAAGAAAGUUC